rnacentral:rRNA from 1 species
GUAGUCCACGCCGUAAACGAUGAAUGCUAGGUGUAGGAGGUAUCGACCCCUUCUGUGCCGGAGUUAACACAAUAAGCAUUCCGCCUGGGGAGUACGGUCGCAAGACUGAAACUCAAAGGAAUUGACGGGGGCCCGCACAAGCGGUGGAGUAUGUGGUUUAAUUCGACGCAACGCGAAGAACCUUAC